AGAGUUUGAUCCUGGCUCAGGACGAACGCUGGCGGUGUGCUUCACACAGGCAAGUCGAGCGAAUGAAGAAGGUAGCUUGCUACUUUUGGAUUUAGCGGCGGACGGGUGAGUAAUAUAUAGGAAUCUGCCCUAGAGCGGGGAACAACAGACCGAAAGGUUUGCUAAUGCCCCAUAGGUACGCAGUCUUCGGAUUGUUUAUUAAAGGAGUAAUCCACUCUAGGAUGAGCCUGUAUCCGAUUAGCUAGUUGGCGGGGUAAAGGCCCACCAAGGCUACGAUCGGUAGUUGGUCUGAGAGGAUGAUCAGCCACAAUGGGACUGAGACACGGCCCAUACUCCUACGGGAGGCAGCAGUGGGGAAUUUUACACAAUGGGGGAAACCCUGAUGUAGCGACACCGCGUGAACGAAGAAGCCUUUUGGGGUGUAAAGUUCUGUCGGCUGGAACGAAAAAAAUGACGGUACCAGCAAAGGAAGCAUCGGCUAACUACGUGCCAGCAGCCACGGUAAGACGUAGGAUGCAAGCGUUGUCCGGAUUUAUUGGGCGUAAAGAGUUCGUAGGCGGUUAUUUAAGUCUGGUGUUAAAUACUGUGGCCCAACCACAGAACUGCAUUGGAUACUGGAUGACUUGAGUGCGGUAGAGGCGAGUGGAAUUCCCAGUGUAGCGGUGAAAUGCGUAGA
rnacentral:rRNA from 1 species